rnacentral:rRNA from 1 species
UACGUAGGGUGCAAGCGUUAAUCGGAAUUACUGGGCGUAAAGCGUGCGCAGGCGGUUGUGCAAGACCGAUGUGAAAUCCCCGGGCUUAACCUGGGAAUGGCAUUGGUGACUGCACGGCUAGAGUGUGUCAGAGGGGGGUAGAAUUCCACGUGUAGCAGUGAAAUGCGUAGAUAUGCGGAGGAACACCGAUGGCGAAGGCGGAUCUCUGGGCCAUUACUGACGCUGAGGAGCGAAAGCGUGGGGAGCGAACAGG